AAGGUAGGGGUGGCAAUCCAGCUCUAUUCGCGAGCCAGCUCGUGUUCGACUCGAAAUGAGCUCGAGAUCGAAUCGUUCGUUUAGUAAACGGGUCGAACACAAGCUGAAUUUUUCAGCUCGUUUAACAAACGAGUUGAAUACGAGGGGGGAUUAGCUCGCUCGUGUUCGGCUCAAUAACAAGUCGAAUAUAUAUAUUUUAUAUUUAUAUAAUUUAUUUAAUUUAUAUUUGUAUAUAAAAAUAAAUAAUUAUAUAUAUAAUAUAUAUUUUUAGCAAAAUAAAAAUAUAAAGUCGAGCACAAUUAUAAAAAAAAAAAAAACUUAUUUAUAUGUGAGUUUCAACUAUUUGAUCAAAAUCUAAUAGGUAAGAUUUUAUAAAUUUAAUUUUUAUACAUAUCUAAUCUAAUCCUUUUAACUUAUUGUUCGUUGGCCUGUUCGUGAGCCAACUCGUGUUCAGCUCGUUUAUUAACAAGCCGAACACGAGCUGAAUUUUUUGGCUCGAUAUUUUAACGAGUCAGCUCGUGUUUGGCUCGUUUAUUAAACGAGCUGAACAUGAAUUGGUCCCAGCUCGCUCGUGUUCGACUCAUUGACACCCAU
rnacentral:lncRNA from 1 species